AACGAACGCUGGCGGCAUGCCUAACACAUGCAAGUCGAACGAGACCUUCGGGUCUAGUGGCGCACGGGUGCGUAACGCGUGGGAACCUGCCCUUAGGUUCGGAAUAACUCCCCGAAAGGGGUGCUAAUACCGGAUAAUGUCUUCGGACCAAAGAUUUAUCGCCUUUGGAUGGGCCCGCGUUGGAUUAGCUAGUUGGUAGGGUAAAAGCCUACCAAGGCGACGAUCCAUAGCUGGUCUGAGAGGAUGAUCAGCCACACUGGGACUGAGACACGGCCCAGACGCAUGGGUGAGGAGGGAGGGGAGAAUAUGGGGAAGGGGGAGAAACCAGGAUCGAGCAGGGCAGAGUGAGUGAGGAAGGAUGCAGGGUUGUAAACCUUGUGUACGAGGGAAGAAAAGGACAUGACGAGGAGAGUAAGCCCUGGAAAACUAGGUGAAAGAAGGCGGGGUAGAAAUGGGAGAGAAAACGUGUGGAG
rnacentral:rRNA from 1 species